rnacentral:lncRNA from 1 species
AUGCACGCGGGUCCCCUGCCGCAUCUCUGUGCCAAGUCCCGGGCUGCUGUGAGCAGCGCUGCCUGGGCUGGCCUGGAACUGGAGCAACUUGCCCAAGGGCUUUGCUCCAAGAGGAGAUGGCCCUGCUGGGCAGGACAUCUUCGAGGAGAGGAUGCGGUUGCUCUCCCUCCUGCAUGUGCUGUGUCUGGAAGGGCCGAGGCAGCGGGAGGUGGGGGCAGGUCUGGUUUAGGCUUGUGCCAAGGGGUUCCUGGCAGAGCCUGGAGCCCUGCCUUCGCUCCUGGUGUCUCCCGUGACGCUGAGCCCUUCCCUGCCCAGAUUCUCCCCAGGGCGCUCUCCUGCGCUGUUCUGCUCCUCCUGGUCGCCGCCGUGCUGAGCAGAGGCAAGAGGUGCAGCAUCGCCAAAAUCCUGCGGCAGUACCGCGCCGUCAUCUUCCACGAGAUCCAGAACCUGAAAAACCUGAGCGGAUCGGCAGACAGGAACAGCCGAGCCGGGCCAGCCUGCCGUUCGGACAAGGACCAGAAGAUCCUGCUGUCCAUCUACAACAUCAGCAUGUCCCUGCGGGACGUGGCGGCCGGCACGCUGCGUGGCCCCGAGGAGGUGGCGGUGUGGAAGGUGGCCAGGAACACGGAGGUCGUGCUUAGGGACUGCAGGAAAAUCUGCAAGGAGGCCGGUCUGCAAACGGGCUUG